rnacentral:pre_miRNA from 1 species
GUUCUUGCUGAUGCAGCAUCUUCAAGAUUCACAAAAGACUCCAUUUUUAGGGUGUUCAUACGUUUUGAGAAUCUUGAUGAUGCUGCAGCGGCAAUUGC